AGCGAACGCUGGCGGCAGGCUUAACACAUGCAAGUCGAACGCCCGGGCAACCGGGAGUGGCAGACGGGUGAGUAACACGUGGGAACGUACCCUUUGGUUCGGAAUAACUCAGGGAAACUUGAGCUAAUACCGGAUAAGCCCUUACGGGGAAAGAUUUAUCGCCGAAGGAUCGGCCCGCGUCCGAUUAGCUAGUUGGUGUGGUAACGGCUCACCAAGGCGACGAUCGGUAGCUGGUCUGAGAGGAUGAUCAGCCACACUGGGACUGAGACACGGCCCAGACUCCUACGGGAGGCAGCAGUGGGGAAUAUUGGACAAUGGGGGCGAACCCUGAUCCAGCCAUGCCGCGUGAGUGAUGAAGGCCCUAGGGUUGUAAAGCUCUUUCGGCGGGGACGAUAAUGACGGUACCCGCAGAAGAAGCCCCGG
rnacentral:rRNA from 1 species